rnacentral:lncRNA from 1 species
AAGGUUUAACUUACACUUUUAUUUUUAUGUUCAGUAAAGAAUCUGUGUCUUACACUUGUGACCAAUGAAAACAAUGGUUAUUACAAAAAUUGAGUGAAAUUCUAUAAUUGAUGUGAAGGUUCAAUAGAAAGCUUGUUAAAUUUUAUUCAGAAGUAUACCAAAAAUAUAUAGAUGUUGAAUUUUACUAAUGAUGGUAAGAUGAGCAGUUCAUUGGAUCAUUUCCUGGUUCUAAUUUUCAUCUAGCACAUUUCUAAACAUUUUUUUUUGCAAUAUCUUUAUUAUUUCAAGUAAUUUAUAUAUUGUUUUUCUUCUAUCAGCUGAGAUAAUCAGAGACAAUGCAAUUUGAAUUUGGGGAAGAAGAGCAUCACAUACAUUCCCACUGCUGCAUCACACCCAGCAGGAGUCUUCAUUAUGUUUCCACACUGUCCCAUAUAAAGUAGUCUUCAGUCUCUUGGUAUCACAAACAUAUGUGCACUUAGCUACUUUCCUCCCUCCUAAAUAAACAUACAAAUUGGGGGAGAG